rnacentral:misc_RNA from 1 species
CAGGGGGGGUAAAACGUGUUACACUUGGCAAGUAAAUUAGUUUUUGAGUUAGUAUUUGUGUUUCAACAUCUUUAUUUCUCUCUAUUUUUACAAAUGCUUUAUAGAAAGGAAGUGGAUGCAUAUGACACAAGGUACAGUUAAGUGGUUUAACGCUGAAAAAGGUUUCGGUUUUAUUUCAACUGAGAACGGUCAAGAUGUCUUCGCACAUUUUUCGGCAAUCCAGACUAAUGGUUUUAAAACAUUAGAAGAAGGACAAAAAGUGGAAUUUGAUGUCGAAGAAGGUCAACGUGGCCCUCAGGCAGUCAAUAUCACUAAAUUAGCUUAAUCAGGUAAAAGUGACUAAAGUAAAGCAGGUGCUAGAAACAGCAGCUGCUUUUUG